GGUCAAGGAUUCUCUAGAUUAAUUACAAUAGUUGUAGUUGGUCAAGUCCAUGUCUUUAAUGAGAACCAAAUGGGCUUGAUUCUUGGCUAAGCGGUCUAGCAUGAACUGUUAGGUUGAUCUAAUCGAAACUAAUUAAACCAGUUGGUGUCUAAGGUAAACCAGACUGGUAGUUUUUAAUUGGCAGCCCGCUUACCUGACCAUUUCUGAUGGUGUCUAAGGCAAGCUUUGGC
rnacentral:lncRNA from 1 species